ACCAUCGCAAAGGGGAGCCAUUGGCUGAGAGUGAUUAGAUGAUCAGACCCUUCGAACCUGUUUGUUAAGACAAGCGUAGGAAUUGUGAUGGAGUUGAGA
rfam:Lactobacillus sakei strain 23K complete genome.